UACGGAGGGAGCUAGCGUUGUUCGGAAUUACUGGGCGUAAAGCGCACGUAGGCGGUUUGUUAUGUCGGAUGUGAAAGCCCUUGGCUUAACUGAGGAAGUGCAUCCGAAACUGGCAAGCUAGAGUACUAAAGAGGGUCGCGGAAUUCCCGGUGUAGAGGUGAAAUUCGUAGAUAUCGGGAGGAACACCGGUGGCGAAGGCGGCGACCUGGGUAGAUACUGACGCUGAGGUGCGAAAGCGUGGGGAGCAAACAGG
rnacentral:rRNA from 1 species